UACGGGGGGCAAGCGUUGUUCGGAAUUACUGGGCGUAAAGGGUUCGUAGGUGGCCAACUAAGUCAGACGUGAAAUCCCUCGGCUUAACCGGGGAACUGCGUCUGAUACUGGAUGGCUUGAGAUUGGGAGAGGGAUGCGGAAUUCCAGGUGUAGCGGUGAAAUGCGUAGAUAUCUGGAGGAACACCGGUGGCGAAGGCGGCAUCCUGGACCAAUACUGACGCUGAGUGAGCGAAAGCCAGGGAGCAACGGG
rnacentral:rRNA from 1 species